rnacentral:rRNA from 1 species
CCACUGGCUCCGAGAACGCUGGCGGCGUGCUUAACACAUGCAAGUCGAACGGAGGACUAAGWAGGAAGCUUGCGAAUCCUAGUCCUUAGUGGCGGACGGGUGAGUAACACGUGGAUAACCUGCCUGUAAGACYGGGACAACACCUGGAAACGGGURCUAAUACCGGGUAAGCUCUUUUUGCCGCAUGGUGAGAAGAGGAGAGGGGAAACCCGCUUACAGAUGGAUCCGCGGCCCAUUAGCUAGUUGGCGGUGUAACGGACCACCAAGGCGACGAUGGGUAGCCGGCCUGAGAGGGUGAUCGGCCACACUGGAACUGAGACACGGUCCAGACUCCUACGGGAGGCAGCAGUGGGGAAUCUUCCGCAAUGGGCGAAAGCCUGACGGARCAACGCCSCGUGAAUGAUGAAGGCCUUCGGGUUGUAAAAUUCUGGUCUUCAGGGAARAAAAAAAUGACGGUACCUGAGGAGGAAGCCCCGGCUAACUACGUUGCCCAGCAGCCCGCGGGUAAAUCACGUAGGGGGGGCGARGCGUUUGUCCCGGGAAAUUUACUGGGGCGUAAAGAGGCGCGUAGGGCGGGUUUUAUUUAAGUCAGAGGGUGAAAAGCUCCCCGGGCUCAAACCCGGGGGGGAACU